UGUAGGAGCCGGCUUGCUGGCGAUGCAGGCGCCUCGGUUUGUCAGCAAUACCGAGGAGAGGCUAUCGCCAGCAAGCCGGCUCCUACA
rnacentral:misc_RNA from 1 species